GUCACUGGUAGCUCAGUUGGUAGAGAAUGAGACUCUUAAUCUCAGGGUUGUGGGUUCGAGCUCCACGUUGGGCA